GCGACUGAGCAUGCUCCGAGACACUUGCUGGCGAAUGGACGCGGAGAGGUGGCGGUGAGUUUUGCGUGUGGAAUCGCAUACCAUCUUCACCAGUUAUGAUUCCCAGGGAGGCAUCAGCCCGUUAUCAAUAACCUGCGAACUCUUCUGAAGCGCCUGCAAUGUUAUCUGGCCUUGCAGAAAGGAAGAGGGAGUAGGAACCUGAACUGUUUUGUGUUUCCAUGAAGUUCACAUCUGAUGGGGGUUUGCCGAGCAAAACAAGAUAGAAACUGCUUGAAAAGAUGCAGAGCAUCCUUACAGUUACAAGCAUCCAAGACUGUCCUCUUGAGGUGCUGAAAUUUAUUUUGCCUUCAGAGGUUUAAUUGCCACUGAAAUGGAUUAUGAUCUAUCAGGAUUCUAGGGUUCACUGGUUUGAGAGAAACACGUGUGGUCUGAAGGUUGCCAAGUUCAGCUCCUUCCGCAGUUAUUCUGCAUCCUUCUGACAGAAUAUUCCAUGUUGUUCAGGUUAACGUGGCCUGAGUGAAGACCAGAAGACACUGAUAUUCCAGGCACAGCAUGAAAUGGGUUCGGUCGGGGAGCUCAAAUGUGUGCACUGAAAGCGACUGUUGAAGAUGAGUGGGAAUAUACACUGUUCCUGUUCUAUGAGUCAGUGCGGAGAUGUAGGAAGAAAACCAACUGACUUUGCAUGUAACAGCAGUGAUUUCGUUUCAAAAGAAGCUGGAAUUGGAAACCCUCCCAACAAUGCUCGGUUAUUUAUUACUCCUGGUGUUGGUGGUGAAGCAAAGUGGCCUGGAGUGGACAGCCGGCCUCCCCUGUGCUUCUCUUCCCUGUUCUGAACAUCCAAGUGGCCGACGCACACAGCUUCUUUUGGCAGCUAGCAAGGCCAGAGCCAAAGGCCAAAAUGUGGCUUCUGCCUUCUAGAAAGAUUAUUUUUUAAGGAAAUCGCACAAGGGUGUGACAGUCACUUAACUGCCUUUUGGGUCCUUAAAGGGGGAAGACCAGCUGGAAAUCUAUGAAUAAGUUAAAUAAAUUAACUUUGAGGCUGAUGACAACGGACUAGAUAUCUGAAUUACUGUACCCUUGUGGCGUUUGACUUCCUGGUCUGGGGUGUUCUGUCCCCUUUGGCUUGUCUGCAAGGAAAUAACACGCGUGUCUCUUGUAGUACUCAUACCAUUGCCAAGGGUCCCGCAGUGCCUCUCUGCUGUGCACAGUUUGCUCAUGUGGGGUAUUUGGCAUUGCAGUUGCUGCAGUUGAAUGAAGGGUGUUCACUAAAAUGGACUCGGGCCUUGUUUGUUGCUGCCUAAUGCAGGGGACAGCGAAACAUGGUGGAUUUAGCUGACUUUGGGAAGCUCAUCCCCUAUUCUGUUCUUUUUUUUCUGGUAAGGGCCAUCUAUAAUAGAAACACUGGGAAACUUCUCUUACACUCUGGGAAGCCUACAUUCGGGCUUAACACACCACUGCUUUGCCACAAGAGCAGCCUGAAUGACUGUACAGCCAUUACUUUGGUGGGGGGCGGGAAUGAGCCACAGAAUGGCAAGUAUGUUAAUGAAAGCUUCCAGGCAUAAGACUGUUCAUUUGACACUGCUCAGAGAGAUAACUGCAUUUGAUAGCUAGUGCUAACAUGUAGAACGAUUUAAACUCUCUGCCAUUCAUUUGUUCUCCCAGCCUGUCUGUUAAUCUGCUCUUGCUAGUUAAUGUUCACAUGGUGCCAUGGUUUGGUUGGCCAGGGGCUGAAUUGUGUUGCUUUAUCAGUGAGGGAAGGUCAGCUGCCUCUAACCUUUGCAAGGCUGGCGUAAACCAGAUGGAUGCACACUUGCCACAGGGUGGAAAGUGCCUGCUGCUGAUGGCAUGGGAAAGCGAGAGCAUGCCUCUCCCUCCUACCCCCUUAAGUCAUAGGAUCGGCAUUAUGGGUUUCUUUGAUGGAGGUUUUGAUAACAUUUCAUGCUUGAAGAACCUUGUGCUGCAUUCCUGCGAUAGCUGCAUUUGUGGCUUAACAAAUGGGCUUGAGCGGAUUCUUAAAAUGAUAAAAAGAGCUGGAGUUGGAGCUCAGUAUUUGGAAUUUACAAACCCUUGUGUGCCGGAUUAGGCUUUUAUAUGGUUAAUUUGAAAAGGGGCAGUUCAGUUUAAUCUGUCCCAAGCCAGUGUGAGUUCCCUUUGGAGUCACGGGUGGGAGUUUUGGGAGAGGGUUCAGAACCGUGUUGAAAAGGAGCACCAAGUGUUAACCAGAGCGCCACCUGAUUGGCUGGCUGAGAUGUAGUAGCCAGGAGCCACAAAAAGGGUGUGCUGGCUCAUAUAAAAGUAGGAAAAGCCUGUCACAAAGACAGAUAGGGAGGUUUGUCAAGUUUUGAAAGCAGCAUGCAUGACACACAAAAUGCGUCAGUCCUCAGAUUCAGUCAGGGGAGAUCGUGUCUAAAGGCAGAGAGAAAACGGCAAGGGGGGCCAGUGUUCUCACAGAAAUCUCAAAGGCUGAUAUGAAAGAGCUUUGUUUUCAUCAGAGGCUAGGAGGCCUGGUGUGGGUGGAAAACAAGAGGGAAACUGAUUUCAUGGCGGCAUUCCUAAGACCACACAGAGGGCUUGGCUAUUGUCGCAGGAGACCACACCUAGAUAUUGGAGCCAGAGAGCCCAUGAGGGUUUAGCUUAACUGAAGUGUGGGUUUAGUGAAACCCCAGAGCUUAAUCUGUCCCAAGCCAGUGUGAGUUCCCUUUGAAGUUAAGGGUGGGAGUUUUAGGAGAGGGUUCAGAACCGUGUUGAAAAGGUUUGCCCUAAACUGAGACACCUGUGCACUUAUGAAGUUAUCUGGAAAAUCUAAGUCGAUAUGAUAUCUGCCUAAAGAUACCAGAAAUGUUUAAGUACCUCUAUGUAACAACAAACUGAGAAGAAAGCUUGUAAAAUAAAGUCUUUUUUGUUUUAUCUUUAAAAA